UACGUAGGGUGCAAGCGUUGUCCGGAAUUAUUGGGCGUAAAGAGCUCGUAGGCGGUUUGUCGCGUCGGCUGUGAAAACUCGGGGCUCAACCCCGAGCCUGCAGUCGAUACGGGCAGACUAGAGGUAUGCAGGGGAGAACGGAAUUCCUGGUGUAGCGGUGAAAUGCGCAGAUAUCAGGAGGAACACCGGUGGCGAAGGCGGCCCACUGGUCCGGUACUGACGCUGAGGUGCGAAAGCGGUGGGGAGCAAACAGG
rnacentral:rRNA from 1 species